AAAUGGUGGAGGCGCCGGGUAGGUUCUAUUUCUGGAGAGAGAGAGAGGUAGAUUUUUAUGUUUAUUAUUAAGUUAGUUUCAGCUUCUGAUAGCAGGUUAUUAAGAGUUUACUUGAGGAGAGGAUUACGGAAUUUAAUCUAAGUGGAGGAAGUCUUUGAGAUUUUUUUUUUGACGUAACAGAUGUUUAUUUGAGUAUACUUGUAAGGAUAAAGUUUAUAGUGAUAAGUUGUUUUAAGUCGUUGAGUUUAUCGGGGAUUAUUACGUGAGGAGAAUACGUUAUAAGUUAAAUGCUUAUUAGAGAUAAUGCAAGUGGUUUAAUUUAAUUGAAGUUCAUUUUAAGAUUGUAGGUUAAGAGAAUUAUAAUUUAAAAUAAAAAUUUUUUGUCGUAAAUAGGAAUUAUUUUCAAGUGAAGUUUGUUUUGUUGUCGUGCGCGUAGGAGACGAGACGUACGAAUUAAAUCAGUCGAGGGAAGGAUAAACGUUAGAAAGGAAUUAAAAAGAAAACGAGAGUUUAUGUAAAAGAGAGUUAUAGGAUUUAUAGUGAUGUUUUGUUUUAAUUAGAAAAAUGUUGAGAGUUGUUUCAGAACGACACGUCAGUGGACGUGGCAGAAUGAACACGUGACGGGGAGGUGCUGAGACCUAGCGGAGAACGGAGGAACCGCAAGCGAGGGUUGGCGCACCUGAUGGAAUUCGGUGACGUCACGAGCACGUACAGAGACGUGGACGGCCGUGACCUUGUUUUGAUCAGCUGUACGGUAACUUAGCGAUAAGAAAAUAGACUAUUGGUUAAAUACAUUUAAAUUUAAGUGUGUUUUAGGAGAAGAGGAACUUUCAGUAUAUUCCUUAAGAUGAGCUGAGCAGCAGUCCAGUUUACAAGAUGACAAGAGUUCGAGAGACAAGAUACAAGAUCACUGAAACAAGAGCCAAGACUGAAGAUUCAAGAGAAGAGAAAGCUGGCAGCCAUGGACUUACAAGUGGAGAUUAAUAAGGUCAUGUAAAGUUUUAUUUUUUUUAUGGAAGACAGUAACUGGAGUUUUUUUUUUGUUAUAAACAUUAUUUACAGAACUUUUUAGGUUAUAGUAAUGUAAUGGAACUAGUGAGUUGUGGUAGCUGUCAAAAAGAACUAAUACCUUAAGUUUAAUUUUUAAAGUUAAUUUUCUUAAUUUACAGAGGGAUUAGUAGUUUUUUUUAAACCUUAUUUAGGUUGGAAUUUAAAUACAAUAGCUUAUUAUAAAUGUGUACGAACAGUUCAAGUUCACAGUACUGAUAGGUAGGUCAGAUGAUCUUAUUGAUUUUGAUGAUUUGUUGUUUUGAGUUGAUUUUUAGGUGUUGUGAAUUAGACAAUGAAAUAGUUCUGAAAACUUAAAUUAUUUCAAGCUAAGAAAUAGUAAAGUUAAUUGUAACUCAAAGGACACCAGAAUUUAAUUUUUUUUUUGAAUUAGUAAUGUUUGAAAAUUUUAUACUUUACAAGAAAGGUUAUAAACAAACAGAUCGGAUGGAACAAGGAUGCAGUAAAUCACAAUUUCAUUUAGAAUUAUUGAUUAGCUUUUGAGGUUAUGAAGUAAAAGUAAUUAUAAUUUAAAAGUUUGAAUAAAAAAAUGUUUUUUUUUAUUUGUUUGAAAUAGAAAGUUUAAAAGUUAAUUAGUCAUGAUCUAGGUGGGUGAUGGGGUGGGAAUUGGCCACUCUUUUUCCCUAUAACCUCCCUAACAUGGCCUUCUAUUACAUCUAACAGAAAAAAAAAAGAAGAAAAAGAAGACUUAUUAUUAGUUAGAAUGUUUUUUUAUGAAGAUACCUGAUGAACUUUUUUUUUAUUGUUGGGAAGAAUAGUAGCAAGAUUAAUCGGAUGUUUUACUCAGAA